rnacentral:misc_RNA from 1 species
GCGCAGAAGCACGCAGUGCCAAUCCACGCGAAGCUUCUUGCGUUCAUGAAAUGCAUAAAACGCGGCAGAAUUAGUCCUUUAUAUGUCACUACACACUGUAGCGUCCUGGGAAAAAGGUUCGGAUAAGCACGUGUUGUGUUGUGUGAUAAGUAUCCCUCUAGCAUGAAUGUAAAUUGUCACUGUUUAUUCACUAGAGCGUUAACAGUUCACACGACUGAAGCUUGUCAUACUGUUUUAAAAUCGUUCCCGGUUUGAAUAACCACAACAAAAGUGUCUCAACAGUGUUUCUUAUUUAGUGCGUUUAUACGCUUAUUUUUAAGCAUGCAUUUAUUAAACGUCUCUGCUAACACAUUUUAUUCAUCGCACCGUAAAGUCUCAUCGUGUGUGAUUGCAUUGUUUAUGUGUUGUCGAUAACACAUCGUCCCAGCACUGUGUCUUUAGCGAAAUUAGUGACAGUUUGUGCCUGAAAAGUAGCAUGUCACUAUGGUGCACUACACUAUAUUGCUUUCUGUGCGUGUGUGAAUGUUUUAUCACUCAUUGGAUUAGGCCACAAGAAGAGGCUGAAGACGUUGGUUCCUCUCCCGUCGGCUGCUACACAUCGUCAACAAACGUGUCUGCAAGCAUAUCCGACAGACGUCCACUCGACAGCUCGUCACCUCCCCUGGCGCCUUCCACCUCACCGUAGUCCGACUGCAGGCUCGACAGUGAAAUGGCUUCAGUGUCUGAGCACAGUGGACUGUGCCACGCGGGAGAAGGCGCUGCAGUGUGGCGUACGAGCAUUGACGACUUGCCUGAGGAGAUACUGAUAAAGAUCUUCUCUCACUUGUCUUUCACUGAGCUAGUGGACGUGGUAUGGAAAGUGUGCCGUCGUUGGAGAAAGCUGUCGCGAGAUUUGAGGUUGUGGGCUGACAAGGAAUACCAUGUCGGGGUCUCGAGGCACUGCAACUCGGAGAACUGUAAGAGCGGCAGGACCGAGCGGGAGGCGAUGCGUAUCUUCCGCAGUGCCCGAAACCUGCGUAAAGUACACAUGUGGUGCGCCGUCAGCCCCCACGUCAUCGACGUGCUCUGCGACAAAUGCCGGAGACUCGCAGAUCUCCGCCUGCACGCCGCCCAGAAGCUUGGCUAUUCGACGGUGAAGAACUCGGUCGAGCAGUGCUCCGGGAUACACGUGCUGACGGCACCCGAUGAGCUACUGAAGACCGAGAAAUUUUCAGAGGCGGUGUCGCGUCUGCAGCACCUCCGUGUGCUGUGUCUGCAAGAGAGAUACGUGGGGACGACUUGCGUCCUGCGUCCUUGUGUGCUGAGACCUUUGGGUGACGGGUGCCCCCGACUGGUCGAGAUUGACUUCGGACGUAUGUCUGUCGAUACGGAUGAUCUGAAGUACUUUCUGAAUGCCAAGAAGAACACCCUAAAGUGCUUACGAAUAAAGUGGUCGGUGGGUGGAACGAGGCACGUCAUACCGUUGCUGCCGGUAUAUGCCGACAGCUUGGAACGUCUGGAACUUUAUGAGUACGACAUAGUCCGCAACUCGGCCAGAGAGGCGUUCACUACCGUCGGAAGCUUGAAGCACUUGCGGGAACUCAGGAUGUCCGUCCCCGAUCGAAUACCGCCCGGAACAGCUGCUCUGGCUUUUACGAAUAGAGGACUGCCACAACUGAAAGUGCUGGAUCUACCACACGGAUACGGUGUGGAAGAUAACACAGUAAUUGCCAUCAGCCACGGAUGUCCCGGUUUGCGGCAGCUCUCCGUCACUCACGCUACGAAGCUGUCGCCUGCUGCCUUCUCGGAGAUCGACCGUCUAGAACAUCUUGAAAUACUAGAUGUGACAGGUUGUAGCAGACUCGGCGGAGGCCUAUUCCCCUGCCUCGUCGGGCUACCGCGACUUCACACGUUGCGAAUGGGUACCAUGUAUUUCGGUACCACGUAUUUUACAGAGUUGCAGCCAGGUGUGAGCAGCAUCCUCAAAUUGUCAGGUUUGCGCUGUCUGACAUUCGAUUAUUCGGAUGUUACUGGAGUGCCUUUUGAUAAGUUUCCGGAGAAUCUCAUCAGUCUCAGAGCUCAUAUCAAAAAGGGGUGAAUUUUCUCUGCUCGUGAGAAACUUCGCUGUGUUUAUUCGUAUGAAAUCGGAGAAUGUUCUUCAUGUUGAGCAAGGUUACCCACUCAUUUACUCAAGCUGAGAACACAGUCAGGGAGCUGAGUGUCGAAGGGUGCCCAGGUGACCCCAGAGCCACAGACGGGCUGACCGAGCAGAUGCCCAAUCUCGUAAUCCGCGGCACGGUCCACGCUGAGCUACAGCCUUUCUACUUCGAGGCACUCGAGGACGU